rnacentral:rRNA from 1 species
ACCUACGGGACGCAGCAGUGAGGAAUAUUGGGCAAUGGGGGCAACCCUGACCCAGCCAUGCCGCGUGUGAGAUGAAGGCCCUCGGGUUGUAAACCACUUUUGUAGAGAACGAAAAGACACCUUCGAAUAAAGGGUGUUGCUGACGGUACUCUAAGAAUAAGCACCGGCUAACUACGUGCCAGCAGCCGCGGUAAUACGUAGGGUGCGAGCGUUAAUCGGAAUUACUGGGUGUAAAGGGUGCGCAGGCGGUUGAGUAAGACAGAUGUGAAAUCCCCGAGCUUAACUCGGGAAUGGCAUAUGUGACU